rnacentral:rRNA from 1 species
UACAGAGGGUGCAAGCGUUGUUCGGAAUUACUGGGCGUAAAGCGCGUGUAGGCGGUUUGGUAAGUCAGACGUGAAAUCCCUUGGCUCAACUGAGGAACUGCGUCUGAUACUGCCUGACUCGAGUGUCGGAGGGGAUGGUGGAAUUCCCGGUGUAGAGGUGAAAUUCGUAGAGAUCGGGAGGAACACCCGUGGCGAAGGCGACCAUCUGGAAGACAACUGACGCUGAGACGCGAAAGCGUGGGUAGCAAACAGG